UGAAAAGAAACUGAAAUUACGCUUCGGAGACUCCUUUGCUAUUUUUGAUGAAUCCAAACAACUGUAAAACCAAAUAAAAAUGGUUGCCAGUAGCUGCCAGUGAAACUUCAAGUACAGCGGUGCAAAUUCCCAAUGUUUAUUACCUUCAUGGGCUCUUUCAAGUCUUUUAACAAUCUCCAAGUAAGUUUCCCGGAGAAUUGGCAUCGCCAUGAAGUGAUAAUUUACCUGCCUACAACCUACAUCUACAGACUGUCUCCAGUGACAUGACAGACGACCAUGGGUCCUACUACUACAGGUACUUUGAAGACUCCUGCUUGAUGGCGGUAUUUCAAGAAUUUUGCUGAAACAAUGGCUGCUCGACAGACAGAAAAAAUGAUCCCUGCGUUAUUCUUAUCUAUGUAUACAAGAUACACUAGCAGUUAGAAAAUGAAGAAUGUUCCUAAAAGUCCCUGACCAUGACUGAAUGUUGAAAGAAAGGCACCUUCUAGACAGCAGUAUCUCUAAGAACACUACCCUGAACCAAGACUGAAAACUGAAGAAAUGUAUUUAAGGCCUUAAUUAUUAAAUAAUGAAGUAAAUUUUUGUCUUUUUAGUU